rnacentral:rRNA from 1 species
CUUUCUUUGCUGGCGACCGGCGCACGGGUGAGUAACACGUAUCCAACCUGCCCUUUACUCGGGGAUAGCCUUUCGAAAGAAAGAUUAAUACCCGAUAGCAUAAUGAUUCCGCAUGGUUUCAUUAUUAAAGGAUUCCGGUGAAGGAUGGGGAUGCGUUCCAUUAGGUUGUUGGUGAGGUAACGGCUCACCAAGCCUUCGAUGGAUAGGGGUUCUGAGAGGAAGGUCCCCCACAUUGGAACUGAGACACGGUCCAAACUCCUACGGGAGGCAGCAUG